GGAGCGGGGCCGGGGGCGGGAGCGGGACACCGCGCUGCACCGAAUCAGCUGGAGCAUCACCCAGCCUUUUCUCCUGAUUUGAAACAAGACAGAAAAACGACAAAGCGCCUUUUCCCACCCCGCAGAGCACACACUGGGAGAAUGGGGCUGAUGUGGGAGGAGAUAAUGCGAGGGAACCCGAGGAAGGUGAAGAAGGAGUGCAAAGAGGAGGUCCAUCUUUACUGGUGAUCAGAAGUGUGAAACUGCUCAUUUGGUGCUUCUUUCAUCUUCUUUUCCUUCCCCAAGAUUUUCUUUCGAACAGCAUUCCCAGAUGUCGUCUACUUUUUCCUACCUAUUUUUCGU